GGGGAAUUUGGUCAUAUUUUGGUUUGUUCACUUGUUUAAAAAAAACGAACUUUGUCAGAACUCUACUGAAAGUGAAUUAACCAAAGUGGCCAAGUGUGUAAAACAAAAACAGCUAAUAGCGCGAAAAUUUUCAAAAAACUAAUGGAGGUACCUGAUGUCGCUAAACACGCUGUGAUGGUUAGUUUUUGUGCAAACGGUUCCGUCAAUAAAAAAGUAGAAAAUCUCGAAAACUGGAGGAGCUAGAGAGGAAAUGAAUGCAGAAAAUCGAUAGUCCAUGGAAAUUGUCAAGAAAUUAAAGAGCUCAUCUCAAAGCGGUACCGUACGCUAGAAUAUUCGGUUCUUAUACAAAUGCCUUUCUUUCACUACAUGAACAUUCAUUUUGUUUCUGGAUCUCAGCGAAACAGCCAGGCUUCAACACAAGUCAUUAUCUUGGUUAAAAAAAUAACGAUCUGCAACCAAAAAGUUUAAAUGAUGAAGCAGUUCUUGUUUGGAGUUGACGAUUCACUUUGCAACCCUCCUUGCUGCAACUCGUGCCUAGUUCAUUAUUCAGUUAUAUUUAAUCUUGACUUACAAAUGGUGAUUGUCAACAUGGAGAACCAUCAUUUCAACUUCCGUGAAGGCAGGAUUGGUUCUAUGUACUAUAAAAAAGGAAGUGGUGCCAAUAGAAAAAUUAAAUGUAUCUCUUAAAAUAACUAAAAUAAUACAAUUCCAAAUUAUUUCACAUAUUUUUAUUUUUAACUUGAAGCUGAUGGAAAUAUAUACAAAAGUAUACUUAUCUAAAUGGCAGUUAUGAUGAAUAACAUAAUAGGCACAUCAAAAACUAAAUGAACAUUGUAAAUAAACAUAUCAAGCACGUUACAGUUUCACAUUACAGAAACUGCAUCUUGGGAAAUUUCAUAUUUAACAGAAACGGAAUCCCGAAUUUUAAAUUUUAAGCAUAAAGAAGUGUUUUGAAAACUUUACGAUUUAUGUUGUUUUAAAUGAAUCUGUAUCCCCGUGAGAAUUAACUAGAAUUAUAGUUUUAAAAGGUAGGAUAGAAAGAAUCGUAUUUGGAUAUGAAGUUUUUCAGUUAAAAGAUUGUAUCCUCUACUUCAAUACAAAUAUCUGAUUUUUGAUUCAAGAAUACUCAACAAACUUUUUAAUUUUGAAAGCCAGUGUCGGAAAAACAAAUUAAAAUAUUUAAUUUUUUUGCUUAA